ACUUUUAAUAAUACAUUUUUUUUUAAAAAAUCAUCUCAUCUGACCUCGAAAGCAAAGUUGGGCCUGGUUAGAACUUGGUUGGGAGACUGAAUGGGAAUACUAGGUGCUGUAAGCU
rnacentral:rRNA from 1 species